rnacentral:rRNA from 1 species
CCUACGGGGGGCUGCAGUAGGGAAUAUUGCACAAUGGGCGAAAGCCUGAUGCAGCAACGCCGCGUGUGCGAUGAAGGCCUUCGGGUCGUAAAGCACUUUUCUGAGAGAUGAGAAAGGACCGUAUCUCAGGAAUAAGUCUCGGCUAACUACGUGCCAGCAGCCGCGGUAAAACGUAGGAGGCGAGCGUUAUCCGGAUUCACUGGGCGUAAAGCGCGUGCAGGCGGUUUGGUAAGUUGGGCGUGAACUCUCUUAGCUUAACUAGGAGAGGUCGUUAAAUACUACCAGGCUUGAGAGUGAUAGAGGAAGAUGGAAUUCCCGGUGUAGUGGCGAAAUGCGUAGAUAUCGGGAGGAACACCAGUGGCGAAAGCGAUCUUCUGGAUCAUUUCUGACGCUCAGACGCGAAAGCUAGGGUAGUAAACGGGAUUAGAUACCCGAGUAGUC